GAUGAACGCUAGCGGCAGGCUUAACACAUGCAAGUCGAGGGGUAGAAGUUGCUUGCAACUUUGAGACCGGCGCACGGGUGCGUAACGCGUAUGCAAUCUACCUUAUACAGAGGGAUAGCCCAGAGAAAUUUGGAUUAAUACCUCAUAGUAUAAUUGAAUGGCAUCAUUUAAUUAUUAAAGUUCCAACGGUAUAAGAUGAGCAUGCGUCCUAUUAGCUAGAUGGUAAGGUAACGGCUUACCAUGGCAACGAUAGGUAGGGGUCCUGAGAGGGAGAUCCCCCACACUGGUACUGAGACACGGACCAGACUCCUACGGGAGGCAGCAGUGAGGAAUAUUGGACAAUGGGCGCAAGCCUGAUCCAGCCAUGCCGCGUGCAGGAAGAAGCAUCUAUGGUGUGUAAACUGCUUUUGUACGGGAAGAAACACCCCUUCGUGAAGGGACUUGACGGUACCGUAAGAAUAAGGAUCGGCUAACUCCGUGCCAGCCGCCGCAGUAAUAC
rnacentral:rRNA from 1 species